rnacentral:rRNA from 1 species
AUGCCACAUAACCUGCUACAGCCGCGCGCUGUGUGUGGCGAGGGAUUACUUCUCCUGUGCAGCAAUACCCUUUUUGGAGUGUCCCAUGUUUGCAACUAUCCUUAUCCGCAGAGAAAAACAAAGGGACAAACAAAGUCCGGAUGCAAGGCGCGAGGCAGGGAAGGCGGUAGCAUGUGGCAAUGUUGGGGACCAGCGAGGAAGAUGCUGGUGUACAUCCUUUGGAAUAAAGUUGGAGUCUCUGAUAUAACGGUUCAGAAUAAAUAUCCAGUGAAGAUGAUGCGUGACGAACAGCAUGGUGAUAAUCCAUAA